ACAAAAAGAAACGGUAUCGUGUUGAGGAAGGAAACAAGCUUUAUUAGAGCAAAGGGAAAUAAAUCCUGGGCUUGUCAGUGGUACAGAUGAACUCCAGAGGCUCUGGGCCUGUCUGUCGUCGCCAGAGGUUGGGUAACCAGCUCUGCGUAGCGGGGCGACCUCAGAUGCCGGCCAGUAGGGAGAGUGGGUGACUUACAGGGAAGGAAAACUGAAAACAGCCGAGAGCUUUCAUCUAUCAAAGAAUCAAGGACCCGGAAGUCGUGGUGUAACAGUGUGGGAGGCAGCUGGGCCGGAAGGAUGCUCGUUCCCCUUUACGAGCCCACAUUCGACCUGUAGCCUGAAGUCGUGUGACUGUCGUGUGGCUGAGUGGCACGUUGAAGAUGAAAGAUUUGACAGUGGCUGAGGACAGAGGCGGGACUUCGGUAUGUGGAGUGAGUGCGGAAGUGGGACACUCUCUCCUCUAAGACAAGAAUACACUGGGCAGAGGUGUCAAAAAACAACCACUGCAGGACUCAGGAAGUACAACAGCUGCCAGCGUCAAAUUGAGAAGCGUUUUGCCUCGAGCUGUGGUGUGGGUCCCACAUGCAGCUUGGAUCUGGUGUGGCUGUGGCUGUGGCCAGCAGCUGCAGCUCCGAGGUGACCCCUAGCCUGGGAAUUUCCAGAUGCCGCAGGUAAGGCCAUAAAAACUGCUACUGCCACCGCCACCACUACCACUACUACUAAAUUGAGAAGCAUCUGGAGUUCCUGUCGUGGCGCAGUGGUUGACGAAUCCGACUAGGAACCAUGAGGUUUCGGGUUCGGUCCCUGCCCUUGCUCAGUGGGUUAACGAUCCGGCGUUGCUGUGAGCUGUGGUGUAGGUUGCAGACGCGGCUCGGAUCCCGCGUUGCUGUGGCUCUGGUGUAGGCCUGUGGCUACAGCUCCAAUUAGACCCCUAGCCUGGGAAUCUCCAUAUGCCGCGAGAGCGGCCGAAGAAAUAGCAAAAAGACAAAAAAAAAAAAAAAAA
rnacentral:lncRNA from 1 species